AUUGAACGCUGGCGGCAUGCCUUACACAUGCAAGUCGAACGGCAGCACGGGUGCUUGCACCUGGUGGCGAGUGGCGAACGGGUGAGUAAUACAUCGGAACAUGUCCUGUAGUGGGGGAUAGCCCGGCGAAAGCCGGAUUAAUACCGCAUACGAUCUACGGAUGAAAGCGGGGGACCUUCGGGCCUCGCGCUAUAGGGUUGGCCGAUAGCUGAUUAGCUAGUUGGUGGGGUAAAGGCCUACCAAGGCGACGAUCAGUAGCUGGUCUGAGAGGACGACCAGCCACACGGGGACUGAGACACGGCCCAGACUCCUACGGGAGGCAGCAGUGGGGAAUUUUGGACAAUGGGCGAAAGCCUGAUCCAGCAAUGCCGCGUGUGUGAAGAAGGCCUUCGGGUUGUAAAGCACUUUUGUCCGGAAAGAAAUCCUUGGCUCUAAUACAGUCGGGGGAUGACGGUACCGGAAGAAUAAGCACCGGCUAACUACGUG
rnacentral:rRNA from 1 species